rnacentral:rRNA from 1 species
UACGUAGGGUGCGAGCGUUGUCCGGAAUUAUUGGGCGUAAAGAGCUUGUAGGCGGUCUGUCGCGUCUGCUGUGAAAACCCGAGGCUCAACCUCGGGCCUGCAGUCGAUACGGGCAAACUAGAGUACUGCAGGGGAGACUGGAAUUCCUGGUGUAGCGGUGAAAUGCGCAGAUAUCAGGAGGAACACCGGUGGCGAAGGCGGGUCUCUGGGCAGUAACUGACGCUGAGGAGCGAAAGCGUGGGGAGCGAACAGG